GCCUUCGUAGAUCAGGUGGUAGAUCUCCCCUUACUUUGUAUAUACAGAGGGCAACGUGGGUUCGACUCCCAUCGAGGGCU